rfam:Arcticibacter svalbardensis MN12-7 contig00013, whole genome shotgun sequence.
AUCAUUCUUCCAACAGUCAGGUUAUUUUAUCCAAUUUUAUGGAUAGAAUUAAAAAGGAACCGUGUGCAAUUCACGGGCUGUCGCGCAACUGUAAGUAACAUCUGCUUUAGCAGGUUACAAGCCAGGAUACUUGCCGUCUGUUUGAGACCAAU